CCUACGGGUGGCUGCAGUGGGGAAUAUUGCACAAUGGGGGAAACCCUGAUGCAGCGACGCCGCGUGCGUGAGGAAGUAUUUCGGUAUGUAAAGCUCUAUCAGCAGGGAAGAAAAUGACGGUACCUGACUAAGAAGCCACGGCUAACUACGUGCCAGCAGCCGCGGUAAUACGUAGGGGGCAAGCGUAAUCCGGAUUUACUGGGUGUAAAGGGAGCGUAGACGGCUAAUCAAGUCAGAAGUGAAAACCCAGGGCUCAACUUUGGGACUGCUUUUGCAACUGAGUAGCUAGAGUGCAGGGAAGGUAAGCGGAAUUCCUAGUGUAGCGGUGAAAUGCGUAGAUAUUAGGAGGAACACCAGUGGCGAAGGCAGCUUACUGGACUGUAACUGACGUUGAGGCUCGAAGGCGUGGGGAGCGAACAGGAUUAGAUACCCCUGUAGUC
rnacentral:rRNA from 1 species